rnacentral:rRNA from 1 species
UACGGAGGAUGCAAGCGUUAUCCGGAUUUAUUGGGUUUAAAGGGUGCGUAGGCGGCCGAGUAAGUCAGCGGUGAAAUUUUGCAGCUUAACUGUAACAGUGCCGUUGAUACUGCAUGGCUAGGAUUUGGUUGCUGUGGGUGGAAUGUGUGGUGUAGCGGUGAAAUGCUUAGAUAUCACACGGAAUAUCAAUUGCGAAGGCAGCUCACAAAGCCAAGAUUGACGCUGAGGCACGAAAGUGUGGGGAUCAAACAGGA